CUAAUCUGUCAGAACAAUGCAAACACAAUAAAAUAAUAAUUGAGGCACAUUUCCAAAACUAGGAAAAUCAUUCCAAGUAGAUAAUCUCCUAAUGUGUACUUUUAUAUGGAAAAGUAGGUAUAAAUUACUU